GGUAGGGGCAGAGGGAAUUCCCGGUGUAGCGGUGAAAUGCGUAGAUAUCGGGAAGAACACCAGUGGCGAAGGCGCUCUGCUGGGCCAUAACUGACGCUCAUGGACGAAAGCCAGGGGAGCGAAAGGGAUUAGAUACCCCUGUAGUCCUGGCCGUAAACGAUGAACACUAGGUGUCGGGGGAAUCGACCCCCUCGGUGUCGUAGCCAACGCGUUAAGUGUUCCGCCUGGGGAGUACGCACGCAAGUGUGAAACUCAAAGGAAUUGACGGGGGCCCGCACAAGCGGUGGAGUAUGUGGUUUAAUUCGAUGCAACGCGAAGAACCUUACCAGGGUUUGACAUCCUGCGAACCUCAUGGAAACGAGAGGGUGCCUUCGGGAACGCAGUGACAGGUGGUGCAUGGCUGUCGUCAGCUCGUGUCGUGAGAUGUUGGGUUAAGUCCCGCAACGAGCGCAACCCACGUCUUUAGUUGCCAGCAUUUAGUUGGGCACUCUAGAGAGACCGCCGGUGAUAAACCGGAGGAAGGUGUGGAUGACGUCAAGUCAUCAUGCCCCUUACAUCCUGGGCUACACACGUACUACAAUGCUACGGACAAAGAGCAGCAAGUUCGCGAGGACAAGCAAAUCUCAUAAACCGUGGCUCAGUUCAGAUCGUAGGCUGCAACUCGCCUACGUGAAGGAGGAAUCGCUAGUAAUCGCAGGUCAGCAUACUGCGGUGAAUACGUUCCCGGGCCUUGUACACACCGCCCGUCACACCAUGGAAGUUGGCCACGCCCGAAGCCGUUACUCCAACCCUUGUGGAGGAGGACGUCGAAGGUGGGGCUGAUGACUGGGGUGAAGUCGUAACAAGGU
rnacentral:rRNA from 1 species